rnacentral:tRNA from 1 species
GCCGAGGUAGCCUAAUGGUAUGGCGUCUGUCUGAAAAACAGAUGGGCACACACCAAUGCCCUUAUGGGUUCGAGGUUAUGGGGGUUGACGAAAUUCCCAUCCUCGGCG